CCUACGGGAGGCAGCCGUGAGGAAUAUUGGUCAAUGGACGAGAGUCUGAACCCGCCAAGUAGCGUGAAGGAUGACUGCCCUAUGGGUUGUAAACUUCUUUUAUAUGGGAAUAAAAUGUUCCACGUGUGGGAUUUUGUAUGUACCAUAUGAAUAAGGAUCGGCUAACUCCGUGCGAGCAGCCUCGGUAAUACGGAGUAUCCGAGCGUUAUCCGGAUUUAUUGGGUUUAAAGGGAGCGUAGGUGGAUUUUUAAGUCAGUUGUGAAAGUUUGCGGCUCAACCGUAAAAUUGCAGUUGAAACUGGCAGUCUUGAGUACAGUAGAGGUGGGCGGAAUUCGCGGUGUAGCGGUGAAAUGCUUAGAUAUCACGAAGAACUCCGAUUGCGAAGGCAGUUCACUGGACUGCAACUGACACUGAGGCUCGAAAGUGUGGAUAUCAAACAGGAUUAGAUACCCGAGUAGUC
rnacentral:rRNA from 1 species